rnacentral:rRNA from 1 species
AGUGAACGCUGGCGGCAGGCCUAACACAUGCAAGUCGAACGGCAGCACAGUAAGAGCUUGCUCUUACGGGUGGCGAGUGGCGGACGGGUGAGGAAUACAUCGGAAUCUACUUUUUCGUGGGGGAUAACGUAGGGAAACUUACGCUAAUACCGCAUACGACCUACGGGUGAAAGCAGGGGAUCUUCGGACCUUGCGCGAUUGAAUGAGCCGAUGUCGGAUUAGCUAGUUGGCGGGGUAAAGGCCCACCAAGGCGACGAUCCGUAGCUGGUCUGAGAGGAUGAUCAGCCACACUGGAACUGAGACACGGUCCAGACCCCUACGGGAGGCAGCAGUGGGGAAUAUUGGACAAUGGGCGCAAGCCUGAUCCAGCCAUACCGCGUGGGUGAAGAAGGCCUUCGGGUUGUAAAGCCCUUUUGUUGGGAAAGAAAAGCAGCAGGUUAAUACCCCGCUGUUCUGACGGUACCCAAAGAAUAAGCACCGGCUAACUUCGUG